UACAGAGGGGGCAAGCGUUAUUCGGAAUUAUUGGGCGUAAAGGGCGCGUAGGCGGUUUUUUAAGUCGGAUGUGCAAUCCCUGGGCUCAACCCAGGAACUGCAUCCGAGACUGGAAGGCUAGAGUACUGGAGAGGGUGGUGGAAUUCCUCGUGUAGCGGUGAAAUGCGUAGAUAUGUGGAAGAACACCGGUGGCGAAGGCGGUUUUCUAGCUUAUUCCUGACGCUGAGGCGCGAGAGCAAGGGGAUCAAACAGG
rnacentral:rRNA from 1 species